rnacentral:lncRNA from 1 species
GGGGUUUUCUCAGGACCAUUUAAUGUGUUGUGACUGUUGUUUUACUUGCCUAGAGAAACCAGUGCCACCAAAUCGGAGGUGAGGAAGUCUGCGUUGCAUUUUGCACAGAGCUAGCACUGAAGGUCCGGAGGUGAGGAUCAGACCUUAGUCUUGCUGUGAGUGUAGCAGAAGCCACAGAGCCCCUGGACACCCCAACAGGCCGUCCUUCCCUAGUGGGACCAAGAAGAAGGGGAAUCUCAAUGAAGAUAAAAACGGGAGCCCUGACACCAGAAAGUCACAGCCAGCAUAAAAAGUUGAGUAAAGAUCCCAGCUUCUCGUCCCAGACACUGGACAUUCCGGGC